rnacentral:rRNA from 1 species
UACGAAGGGGGCUAGCGUUGCUCGGAAUCACUGGGCGUAAAGGGUGCGUAGGCGGGUCUUUAAGUCAGGGGUGAAAUCCUGGAGCUCAACUCCAGAACUGCCUUUGAUACUGAAGAUCUUGAGUUCGGGAGAGGUGAGUGGAACUGCGAGUGUAGAGGUGAAAUUCGUAGAUAUUCGCAAGAACACCAGUGGCGAAGGCGGCUCACUGGCCCGAUACUGACGCUGAGGCACGAAGCGUG